CAGCCGCCGCGGUAAUACGAGGGGGGCAAGCGUUGUUCGGAAUUACUGGGCGUAAAGCGUGCGCAGGCGGUUUUGUAAGUCUGUCGUGAAAUCCCCGGGCUCAACCUGGGAAUGGCGAUGGAGACUGCAAGGCUAGAAUCUGGCAGAGGGGGGUAGAAUUCCACGUGUAGCAGUGAAAUGCGUAGAUAUGUGGAGGAACACCGAUGGCGAAGGCAAUCCCCUGGACCUGUACUGACGCUCAUGCACGAAAGCGUGGGGAGCAAACAGGAUUAGAUACCCGUGUAGUCCCUGUCUCUUAUAU
rnacentral:rRNA from 1 species